UGGAGGGAGCUUUCCCGCGGAUGGUUAUGGCGGUGAGCGUUCGUGUAGAGCUUCGUCGCCCCAGAAACGGGCAUUUCGCUGUGAGAUGCUGCGCGACUGAUAGAGGCGUCUGUCGUAGUUAAGCACCUAGUUUUAAAUAAUUGUUGGCACCUGGAUGAUUAAAUCUUCAAGUUAUCAUAAAUCAAGAUCACAAGCCAAAAAGCAACAUAGGAAAUAAAAAAGACUGGAUCAUUCUAUGAAAUUUUACUCAGUUUCAUUACAGAAGGCUGUAUAGGAUUACUUACAACAGCCAAACUAUGGAAGAAACCCAAGUGUCCAUUGAUGGAUGAAUGAAUAAAGAAGAUAUGGGAUGUGUGUGUGUAUUUAUA